rnacentral:rRNA from 1 species
GGUUUCUUGAUUAUUAAUAAGAGAUUUGACCUGCCCACUGAAUAAUUUUUAAAUGGCCGCAGUAUUUUGACUGUGCAAAGGUAGCAUAAUCAUUAGUCUUUUAAUUGAAGGCUGGUAUGAAUGGUUGAACGAGGUAAAUUCUGUUUUAUAUUGAUUAUUUGAAUUUAGAUUUUGAGUAAAAAUACUCAAAUAAUAUUAAGGGACGAGAAGACCCUAUAGAGUUUAAUAUUUAAAGUUUUAAUUAAGUUAAUUUUUAAUUUUUGAUUAUUAUGAUAUUUAUUUAAUUGGGGUGAUUAAAAGAUAAAUGAAACUCUUUUUUGAAAUUAAUAAUUUUAUUAAUUUAUUGAUCCAUAAAUUAUGAUUAUAAGAUUAAAUUACCUUAGGGAUAACAGCAUAAUUUUUUUCAAGAGUUCUUAUCGAAAAAGAAGAUUGUGACCUCGAUGUUGGAUUAAGAUAAAUAUUAGGUGCAGAUGUUUAAUAAUUAGGUC